rnacentral:rRNA from 1 species
UACGAAGGGUGCAAGCGUUACUCGGAAUUACUGGGCGUAAAGCGUGCGUAGGUGGUUCGUUAAGUCUGAUGUGAAAGCCCUGGGCUCAACCUGGGAAUGGCAUUGGAUACUGGCGACCUAGAGUGCGGUAGAGGGGUGUGGAAUUCCCGGUGUAGCAGUGAAAUGCGUAGAUAUCAGGAGGAACAUCUGUGGCGAAGGCGACACCCUGGACCAGCACUGACACUGAGGCACGAAAGCGUGGGGAGCAAACAGG